AUUCGCACGUUUAUUCGUGUAUAACUGACUUGGUGAUGUGUUUUUAAUUUAUCAAUUAUUGUCUAAUUAAAGAAUUCCAAAACAAAGUUAAAAAAGAGAAAGGCAAAGUCUCCUGAUUUAUGAAAAUUGAUUUAGAUGAAGCAUAUUUGAAUAUCUCAUCUAUAAAUAUUUUAUGCCUGUCUGAACGCUAUGAUUAAAUUAGGAAAAUGCGGUUUGGCAGGUAAAUCUACUUUUUCAGAUCUUGCAAGUUGAACAUCCAUGACAUCCAGCUAGGAAAUGUAUUACAGUUAGGAACACACCUGAAGAUAUUCAAGCACAGUAUAGAAAUAUUGUAUUUCUAUAUAGAAGAUAAAUUCAAUUUCGACAAAUAUAUAUACAUAUGUUUUUUAUCGCGCAUAAUAGAAGCUGUUUAUAAUCGCGCUUUGAAGAGCAGAAUGCCCGCGCCAAAGAAAUUCUAUGUUAAGGUCAUACAAGCAUAGUCGCUUGUGAAAGAGAGGGUGAACUUUAAAAGUGUAGUUCAACAUUGUGGAAAUAUCACUUCAGCGACACUUCAGCGCUACGUUUUAUCUACAUUCAGAUUUACAUUCGUGUGUUCGCGAUUUAUUUUACAGGUUGUUUGACUAAAUCCCAUCGUGACGCAACAAUGUAGUAUCACUGUAAUGGACAUUUUACACUCUGUUACGUUAAUACGAUCGAUAAUUCGCCUAAUAAUUAAUCCACCCUAAUUUCGUCAGUCAAUGAAUCCACGAUGCUGAUAAAACAUCGCGCGUAACUGGAAACGGAUCGCAAUUGAAUCGUUUUCACGUGUACAUUUAAUUGUGUUAACUGCGCACGAGCGACGAUUUGCAGUGAGAUAUUAUGACACAAUAAGAUUGAAUAAACAUGAAUCUCGCUGUGAUGAUUAUCAUCUGGCUUGUAUCGGUGACGCCACGUUUAUGUGACGCACUCGACGAGGAUGGGAUCGAUUAUUAUUCGUUCGCGGACAAUGAUGGCAACUUCGAGUACACCAACGUUACGAAUUGCACCAACGAUUACUGCAUCCCGGACGAGGAUUACAUCGAGUUGAUGGUGCAGCACAUAUUUCCGAAAUUUACUGACUGGGUGCUCAUUGCAAUGCACAGCGUCGUCUUCAUAAUCGGCCUAAUUGGCAACGCACUUGUCUGCAUGGCCGUCUAUCGCAAUCACUCGAUGCGUACCGUGACUAAUUAUUUCAUCGUCAAUCUGGCGGUGGCUGAUCUUCUCGUUCUGCUGAUCUGCCUGCCGCCGUCGGUUCUCUGGGACGUCACGGAGACUUGGUUCCUCGGAUUAAAACUCUGCAAAGCCGUGCCGUAUCUUCAGACAGUAUCGGUGAGCAUCAGCAUUUUGACGUUGACUUUCAUAUCGAUCGACCGGUGGUACGCUAUAUGUUUCCCAUUGAGAUUCAAAUCCACGACAGCCCGAGCAAAAACCGCUAUCAUUGUGAUCUGGUUGAUAUCAUUGCUUUUUGAUAUUCCAGAACUAUUGGUGUUGCACACGGUGCCGUCGAACAGUCGAGUGCAGACUAUAUUAUUCACGCAAUGUGUCUGUGCGUGGAGUCAAGAAAGUCAAACUACUUUCACGAUUGUCAAGCUGAUCUUUUUGUAUACGAUGCCAUUGCUUUUCAUGAGCGUCGCGUACUGGCAGAUUGUACGCGUUCUUUGGAAAAGCGAUAUUCCAGGACAUAAUUUGUCUACCAGAAUCUGUCGUUCAACUGAGAUUCCAUUGUCGGGAGGUGGAAACCCGGAGGGUCAACUAAGAUCUCGACGGAAAGCGGCGAAGAUGUUAGUCGCCGUAGUCAUCACAUUCGCGAUAUGUUUCUUUCCUGUACACUUGCUCUCUAUUUUAAGAUGUACUAUGGCAUUACCGUCGAAUCAAUGGACGAUCGCCAUUAGCCUAAUUGCCCAUUGGCUUUGUUACUUCAACAGCGCAGUGAAUCCUGUCAUCUAUAAUUUUAUGAGUGGUAAGUUCCGGCGGGAGUUCCGCCGUAGUUUUCGGGAGUGCGGUACGCCGAGCAAGGAAAGGGCGAUGACGCUGCCGACGAUACGUCGGAAUCUGCCGCUGAGUAGCGACGAGUACACGAGAGGGUACCGUAUGAGCUUGCAAAAUCGACCAUUUUGACGCGUGGCGAAGCGAGUACCGUGGAAAUCGACAAAAAUACAUCUCGACCUCAUACCUGACAUGCAAGCGAAUAUCAUAGCCGAGACGGCGUUUAACGGUGGGAUGAGAACGGGCUCAAAUAUCGACACUCAUUAAACCGAUCGUGCUUAGGCCAUAAUAAUGGAGGAAAGAAGAGGAAAGAAGAGGAAGGAAAAUGAACUGGUGCAAAAAUUCAGCCAAAAAAGAACAGGCCUAAUGACAGGCAAAACAUGCUGAAAGCAGUCGUACAUCACAUUAUCUUUUCGAUGUACUUCGAUUCACUUUAGAGAGAAAACAGACAAAAACGGAGCUCCCGUCUGUCCUCGCCAAGUAUCAAGUAAGUAAGAAUAACAAAAUCGCCGCCGAUAACAAAAUCAUAAUGAUCGUGUGAAAUAGCGAUAGAACACGGCGCUUACCUUAUAAUAAAUUUCGUGCGCGACAUCUCCGACAGUUCCUGGCGCACAAAACUCACUUUCAAACGAUGAAAAUUAACGAGAAAUGGAAAGACGGAGAGAUUCGAACGCGCUACGAUACGUUACAGGUUGCAGGCUUCCAGGACUUUUGACCGCGCAAACCGACUUCGAGAAUCGCAAUAUCGUACUUUCGAUACUGCAAUCGAUGCGCGAGCCAAUCACGGUGAUCGGAUCUGUCAGAGCGAUUGCAACGCAACGGUGGACCAAUCGCAGCAGUCGAUUAGUUU
rnacentral:misc_RNA from 1 species